UACGGAGGGGACUAGCGUUGUUCGGAAUUACUGGGCGUAAAGCGCACGUAGGCGGAUUUGUAAGUCAGGGGUGAAAUCCCGGGGCUCAACCCCGGAACUGCCUUUGAUACUGCGAAUCUCGAGUCCGGAAGAGGUGAGUGGAAUUCCUAGUGUAGAGGUGAAAUUCGUAGAUAUUAGGAAGAACACCAGUGGCGAAGGCGGGUCUCUGGGCAGUAACUGACGCUGAGGAGCGAAAGCGUGGGGAGCGAACAGG
rnacentral:rRNA from 1 species